rnacentral:ncRNA from 1 species
CAGAGUAAAAGAAUACGCGUUAAGUGUUUGCUGUACGGGGAGUUGACAGCAGGACGAAGGGCAGGCGCGCCUGCAUUUUCUGUUAUCGCCUUUGUCAAGUUUGAAUCUUUGACAGAGUAAGAAAGAGGCGCAUGCGUCCCGCGGUGUAUUCUUUGCAUCCCGCUGU